rnacentral:lncRNA from 1 species
ACACACAGCAGCUCAGGGAAGGGAAAGGGCUCUCUCCGCUUUACGGCUGCUGAAAACCCUCCCUCCCCAGCCAGCUCAGUGCAGCCGCGCCGCGCCGCGCCCGGGCUCGCUCCUCUCCAAGCCCUAUGCAGCAAAUUCCAAGUUGCCAAGUUAACAGCCCUGGAAGCUGAAAGAUUUCUCAGCUGGACAUUGGAAAUAGCUUUUGAUGGUUCUGGGCUUCUUUCAUUUGACCCAGGGUAAGACCUCAGUCUGUGACCUUUCAUUAAUAUUUGUGCAACGGUUUGGGCCUUUGGUAAACAGUCUAUUAUUUCCUCCUCUUUGAGCAUCCAACAGGCAAAAUCGCCAAUGUGUGCAAAUCAGAUAUGUAGAAAACCGUCCACAUUUGAAAAUGUUACCAAAAUAAGUUAUGUUUCAUAGUUUCUUCCCAGCAGAAAUACAUAUCAAUGUGAUGAUUAUUUAGAGGAAUAUAUAUUGAAACAAUGGU